rnacentral:snRNA from 1 species
GGACAAGGGGGAAUGGAUUGAAGCUGAAGGAGGGAAGAUUUAAAUUAGAUAUUAGGGGGAAGUUUUUUACGGAGACCCCUCCCUCCCCCCCCGCUCCAUGUGCGUCCCUCCCGAAGCUGCGCGCUCGGUCGAAGAGGACGACCUUCCCCGAUAGAGGCGUACCGUUCAUCGGUCAAGGGUAUACGGUAGCUGCGCUCCCCUGCUAGAACCUCCAAACAAGCUCAAGGUCCUUUCGUAGGAGAGGGGUGGCCAGCAGGGACAG